AAAAAACUAGUUAAAUUCUCAAUAACAAAAGAAUGUCAUUCUUUAAUUACCUAAAAGUGUUUUUUA
rnacentral:tRNA from 1 species